GCCUUGUGUAUGUAGGUUUCAGACCAGGGCUAUUGCCUUGUGUAUGUAGGUUUCAGACCAGGGCUAUUGCCCUCUGUAUGUAGGUUUCAGACCAGGGCUAUUGCCCUCUGUAUGUAGGUUUCAGACCAGGGCUAUUGCCAGUGCCUUGCACAAGUUUUUAUCCCCCUUUCUGUUUUUCCUAUUGUUUCAUGUAAUGGAUUUACACAAAAUAAUCUAAAUUUGUGAAGUGAAAUUUAAAAAAUGACUUGUUUCAAAGAAUAAAAACAGGAAAGUGGUACGUGCGUAUGUAUUCACCCCCAAAUGCUUUGAAGCCCCUAAAUCAGAUCUGAUUGCACACAGGUAGAUUUUAAGUGUCACAUGAUCUCAUAUCUACCCCAGUUCUGAAAGGCCCCAGAGUCUGCAACACCACUAAGCAAGCGGCACCAUAAAAACAAACGGAGCUCUCCAAACAGGUCGGGGACAAAGUUGUGGAGAAAUACAGAUCAGGGUUGGGUUAUAAAAAAAUAUCAGAAACUUAGGACAUCCCACGGAGCACCAUUAAAUCCAUUAUCUCUGCUGCAGAUGAGUUUAUUAGGAUCUCUUUUAGUCCUCCAUUUGGAGUAAUCUUCCAAGAGUCCUUCAACAUUAAAAUACAAUUUAUAAUACGAUCACAUUUUCACAUUUAACACACUAUUACAGACAUAAUACACUGACAUAUUGACCAGAUAAAUACUCUUUAACAGUCUGAAAUUAUAGAUUGAUUCCUUCAUCUACCAUAUUCCUGCACAACCUUCCAAUUUAUUGUAUUUAAAUGGUCCUAAAGUAUUGUUUGAAUUUAUAUAUUGAAAGGUUUCUGGUUUGCUCAGAUACAUUUUUCCAUUUCUUUAUUGCUCUAAAUUGAAAUUUUAUUUAGCCUAUUUCUCUUUUCUGUCUGUCCACCAUCUGUGUUAUCCAAUCUAAAUCAAAUUAAAUGUUAUUUGUCACAUACACAUGGUUAGCAGAUGUUAAUGCGAGUGUAGCGAAAUGCUUGUGCUUCUAGUUCCGACAAUGCACUAAUAACCAACAAGUAAUCUAGCUAACAAUUCCAAAACUACUACCUUAUAGACACAAGUGUAAGGGGAU
ensembl:lncRNA